CAGCCGCCACGGUAACACGGAGGGUGCAAGCGUUAAUCGGAAUUACUGGGCGUAAAGCGUGCGUAGGCGGUUCGUUAAGUCUGUUGUGAAAGCCCCGGGCUCAACCUGGGAAUGGCAAUGGAUACUGGCGAGCUAGAGUGUGUCAGAGGAUGGUGGAAUUCUCGGUGUAGCGGUGAAAUGCGUAGAGAUCGGGAGGAACAUCAGUGGCGAAGGCGGCCAUCUGGGACAACACUGACGCUGAGGCACGAAAGCGUGGGAAGCAAACAGGAUUAGAUACCCCUGUAGUCCCUGUCUCUUAUAC
rnacentral:rRNA from 1 species